GCGGAAGUGGUGGAACCGGUAGACACACCAUCUUGAGGGGGUGGCGGGCUAACGCCUGUGCGGGUUCAAGUCCCGCCUUCCGCA
rnacentral:tRNA from 1 species